GAUGAACGCUAGCGGCAGGCUUAACACAUGCAAGUCGAGGGGCAGCAUGGUCUUAGCUCGCUAAGACCGAUGGCGACCGGCGCACGGGUGAGUAACGCGUAUCCAACCUUCCGCAUACUCGGGAAUAGCCUUUCGAAAGAAAGAUUAAUGCCCGAUGGUUUCCCGAAUCCGCAUGAGAACGGGAAUAAAGAUUCAUCGGUAUGCGAUGGGGAUGCGUCCCAUUAGCUUGUUGGCGGGGUAACGGCCCACCAAGGCGACAAUGGGUAGGGGUUCUGAGAGGAAGGUCCCCCACAUUGGAACUGAGACACGGUCCAAACUCCUACGGGAGGCAGCAGUGAGGAAUAUUGGUCAAUGGGCGAGAGCCUGAACCAGCCAAGUAGCGUGAGGGAUGACCGCCCUACGGGUCGUAAACCUCUUUUAUAAGGGAAUAAAGAUAAGUACGCGUACUUAGUUGCAUGUACCUUAUGAAUAAGCAUCGGCUAACUCCGUGCCAGCAGCCGCGGUAACAC
rnacentral:rRNA from 1 species